AACAUUUCCUGUUGAUCUUGGAAUUGGGCCACACAAGUUCUCUUUUACCGCUACGGACUCGUCAGGGAAUUAUGAUAAUUGUGCGUUUACUAUCCAAGUUCUCCUAACAUUUGACGGAACAGAAGUCUCCGACGUUGCUUUAUCUUCUGACCCAAAUAGUGUCACAUUAUCGGCUUCAGUUGACCCAGACGCAAAAGAUGGACCUUUCAAAGUCUCUGCAAAUCAAACUGUUCUUGAUGAAUCCAUAUCUCUGCAAACUUCGUAAGUUACGUUCAAGAGUGUACAUUGUUUCGCUGCAUAGAACAGAUGGGGUAUUACAACUUACCGUACCGUAUUAAUAUAUACAUGGUAGAUAAUGUUACCUUAUAAACAGU